CGGGACGUGGCGCAGCCUGGUAGCGCACCUGCUUUGGGAGCAGGGGGUCGGAGGUUCAAAUCCUCUCGUCCCGAUCA
rnacentral:tRNA from 2 species